rnacentral:rRNA from 1 species
AACGUAGGUCACAAGCGUUGUCCGGAAUUACUGGGUGUAAAGGGAGCGCAGGCGGGAAGACAAGUUGGAAGUGAAAUCCAUGGGCUCAACCCAUGAACUGCUUUCAAAACUGUUUUUCUUGAGUAGUGCAGAGGUAGGCGGAAUUCCCGGUGUAGCGGUGGAAUGCGUAGAUAUCGGGAGGAACACCAGUGGCGAAGGCGGUCUACUGGGCACCAACUGACGCUGAGGCUCGAAAGUGUGGGUAGCAAACAGG